rnacentral:rRNA from 1 species
CAGCAGCCGCGGUAAUACCGGCGGCCCGAGUGGCGGUCACUAUUAUUGGGCUUAAAGCGUCCGUAGCCGGGUUGGGAAGUCCUCCGGGAAAUCUGGCCGCUUAACGGUCAGAAUGCCGGAGGAUACUCCCAGCCUAGGGAGCGGGAGAGGCCGAGGGGAUUCCCGGAGUAGGGGUGGAAUCCUAUAAUCCCGGGAGGUCCACCUGUGGCGAAGGCGCUCGGCUGGAACGCGUCCGACGGUGAGGGACGAAGGCCAGGGGAGCAAACCGGAUUAGAUACCCGGGUAGUCCUGGCUGUAAACGAUGCGGACUUUGUGUCGGACAAGCUAUGAGCUUGUCCGGUGCCGGAGGGAAACCGUUAAGUCCGCCGCCUGGGGAGUACGGCCGCAAGGCUGAAACUUAAAGGAAUUGGCGGG